UUGAGAGGCAUAGUGCUCUCCCGUGAGUUUAUGUUCCACGGAUCGCAAAUUAUGGUUUUCGUUUCGGAAUAGCCUUUUAUUUCUAUUAGAAAUAUGAUUUUAAAUUUUUUCGAUUUUCAAGGCAUAUCAGUUAUCAUUUUCUGUUCAUUCUGAAUGGAUUGGUGAAUUUGUUGCUUCAGCAUGAACUCAUAUGAAUUGCUUGAGAACAGGGCCGGUGUGAGGGUUGAAACAGUGAAGCGACCGUUGAGGGGCGGCGAUUCGGUCCAGUUUUCUGACCACCUUUUUCACAUAUGAUCCUUGAUUCUCAAAAACAA